rnacentral:rRNA from 1 species
UUGAAGAGUUUGAUCAUGGCUCAGAUUGAACGCUGGCGGCAGGCCUAACACAUGCAAGUCGAGCGGUAGCACAGAGAGCUUGCUCUCGGGUGACGAGCGGCGGACGGGUGAGUAAUGUCUGGGAAACUGCCUGAUGGAGGGGGAUAACUACUGGAAACGGUAGCUAAUACCGCAUAACGUCGCAAGACCAAAGUGGGGGACCUUCGGGCCUCAUGCCAUCAGAUGUGCCCAGAUGGGAUUAGCUAGUAGGUGGGGUAACGGCUCACCUAGGCGACGAUCCCUAGCUGGUCUGAGAGGAUGACCAGCCACACUGGAACUGAGACACGGUCCAGACUCCUACGGGAGGCAGCAGUGGGGAAUAUUGCACAAUGGGCGCAAGCCUGAUGCAGCCAUGCCGCGUGUGUGAAGAAGGCCUUCGGGUUGUAAAGCACUUUCAGCGGGGAGGAAGGCGUUAAGGUUAAUAACCUUGGCGAUUGACGUUACCCGCAGAAGAAGCACCGGCUAACUCCGUGCCAGCAGCCGCGGUAAUACGGAGGGUGCAAGCGUUAAUCGGAAUUACUGGGCGUAAAGCGCACGCAGGCGGUCUGUCAAGUCGGAUGUGAAAUCCCCGGGCUCAACCUGGGAACUGCAUUCGAAACUGGCAGGCUAGAGUCUUGUAGAGGGGGGUAGAAUUCCAGGUGUAGCGGUGAAAUGCGUAGAGAUCUGGAGGAAUACCGGUGGCGAAGGCGGCCCCCUGGACAAAGACUGACGCUCAGGUGCGAAAGCGUGGGGAGCAAACAGGAUUAGAUACCCUGGUAGUCCACGCCGUAAACGAUGUCGAUUUGGAGGUUGUGCCCUUGAGGCGUGGCUUCCGGAGCUAACGCGUUAAAUCGACCGCCUGGGGAGUACGGCCGCAAGGUUAAAACUCAAAUGAAUUGACGGGGGCCCGCACAAGCGGUGGAGCAUGUGGUUUAAUUCGAUGCAACGCGAAGAACCUUACCUGGUCUUGACAUCCACAGAACUUAGCAGAGAUGCUUUGGUGCCUUCGGGAACUGUGAGACAGGUGCUGCAUGGCUGUCGUCAGCUCGUGUUGUGAAAUGUUGGGUUAAGUCCCGCAACGAGCGCAACCCUUAUCCUUUGUUGCCAGCGGUUAGGCCGGGAACUCAAAGGAGACUGCCAGUGAUAAACUGGAGGAAGGUGGGGAUGACGUCAAGUCAUCAUGGCCCUACGACCGGCUACACGUGCUACAAUGGCAUAUACAAAGAGAAGCGACCUCGCGAGAGCAAGCGGACCUCAUAAAGUAUGUCGUAGUCCGGAUUGGAGUCUGCAACUCGACUCCAUGAAGUCGGAAUCGCUAGUAAUCGUAGAUCAGAAUGCUACGGUGAAUACGUUCCCGGGCCUUGUACACACCGCCCGUCACACCAUGGGAGUGGGUUGCAAAAGAAGUAGGUAGCUUAACCUUCGGGAGGGCGCUUACCACUUUGUGAUUCAUGACUGGGGUGAAGUCGUAACAAGGUAACCGUAGGGGAACCUGCGGUUGAUCACCUCCUU